rnacentral:rRNA from 1 species
AGUGAACGCUGGCGGUAGGUCUAACACAUGCAAGUCGAACGGCAGCACAGUAAGAGCUUGCUCUUACGGGUGGCGAGUGGCGGACGGGUGAGGAAUACAUCGGAAUCUACUUUUUCGUGGGGGAUAACGUAGGGAAACUUACGCUAAUACCGCAUACGACCUACGGGUGAAAGCAGGGGAUCUUCGGACCUUGCGCGAUUGAAUGAGCCGAUGUCGGAUUAGCUAGUUGGCGGGGUAAAAGCCCACCAAGGCGACGAUCCGUAGCUGGUCUGAGAGGAUGAUCAGCCACACUGGAACUGAGACACGGUCCAGACUCCUACGGGAGGCAGCAGUGGGGAAUAUUGGACAAUGGGCGCAAGCCUGAUCCAGCCAUACCGCGUGGGUGAAGAAGGCCUUCGGGUUGUAAAGCCCUUUUGUUGGGAAAGAAAAGCAGCAGGUUAAUACCCCGCUGUUCUGACGGUACCCAAAGAAUAAGCACCGGCUAACUUCGUG